rfam:Myotis davidii contig283105, whole genome shotgun sequence.
GGUGGUUCUCGGGUGAUACACUCUGGAAUCAGGCUCCCUCCUCUCUGGUUCUGGGUUUUUCACCCAAGAACCACA